GAUGAACGCUGGCGGCGUGCUUAACACAUGCAAGUCGAACGAAGCACUUUUACAGAUUUCUUCGGAUUGAAAUUUUAGUGACUGAGUGGCGGACGGGUGAGUAACGCGUGGGUAACCUGCCUCACACAGGGGGAUAACAGUUGGAAACGGCUGCUAAUACCGCAUAAGCGCACAGUACCGCAUGGUACGGUGUGAAAAACUCCGGUGGUGUGAGAUGGACCCGCGUCUGAUUAGCUAGUUGGCAGGGCAACGGCCUACCAAGGCGACGAUCAGUAGCCGACCUGAGAGGGUGACCGGCCACAUUGGGACUGAGACACGGCCCAAACUCCUACGGGAGGCAGCAGUGGGGAAUAUUGUACAAUGGGGGAAACCCUGAUGCAGCGACGCCGCGUGAGCGAAGAAGUAUUUCGGUAUGUAAAGCCCUAUCAGCAGGGAAGAAGAAAUGACGGUACCUGACUAAGAAGCACCGGCUAAAUACGUGCCAGCAGCCGCAGUAA
rnacentral:rRNA from 1 species